UAGGCUUAUAACUAUAUCCACUUACACCUGUGAACUGUUCUACUACUUGACGCAAGUCGAGUAUUUUUACAAACAAUGUGUAAUGAACGUCGUUUUAUUAUAACAAAAUAAAACUUUCAACAACGGAUCUCUUGGCUCUCGCAUCGAUGAAGAACGCAGCGAAUUGCGAUAAGUAAUGUGAAUUGCAGAAUUCAGUGAAUCAUCGAAUCUUUGAACGCAGCUUGCGCUCUCUGGUAUUCCGGAGAGCAUGCCUGUUUCAGUGUCAUGAAAUCUCAACCACUAGGGUUUCCUAAUGGAUUGGAUUUGGGCGUCUGCGAUUUCUGAUCGCUCGCCUUAAAAGAGUUAGCAAGUUUGACAUUAAUGUCUGGUGUAAUAAGUUUCACUGGGUCCAUUGUGUUGAAGC
rnacentral:rRNA from 1 species